rnacentral:rRNA from 1 species
GCGGAGGGAUCAUUACCGAGUUUACAACUCCCAAACCCCUGUGAACAUACCAAUUGUUGCCUCGGCGGAUCAGCCCGCUCCCGGUAAAACGGGACGGCCCGCCAGAGGACCCCUAAACUCUGUUUCUAUAUGUAACUUCUGAGUAAAACCAUAAAUAAAUCAAAACUUUCAACAACGGAUCUCUUGGUUCUGGCAUCGAUGAAGAACGCAGCAAAAUGCGAUAAGUAAUGUGAAUUGCAGAAUUCAGUGAAUCAUCGAAUCUUUGAACGCACAUUGCGCCCGCCAGUAUUCUGGCGGGCAUGCCUGUUCGAGCGUCAUUUCAACCCUCAAGCCCCCGGGUUUGGUGUUGGGGAUCGGCGAGCCUCACGGCAAGCCGGCCCCGAAAUAUAGUGGCGGUCUCGCUGCAGCUUCCAUUGCGUAGUAGUAAAACCCUCGCAACUGGUACGCGGCGCGGCCAAGCCGUUAAACCCCCAACUUCUGAAUGUUGACCUCGGAUCAGGUAGGAAUACCCGCUGAACUUAAGCAUAUC